rnacentral:lncRNA from 14 species
CCUAAUCACAUUUUUCUGGUUUCUUCGCAUUAGGUCAUGUUACAAAUUCCAAAUCCGGUUAAAGCAAAAUCCGAUUAGUUUCUAGUUUUAAAACAGAAAAGCAUGAAUGUCUGGACCUGAUACUUCAAAAUUUCUAUUUUAUGGAAUUUGUCUAUUUUGGGUGUGCAAGAGGAACAGAGCACUUGGCAUUGGGUGUAGCACUCUCUGGAUUUUCUUUCAAAGAGGCUUUCCAUAGGCUUAUCGACAUUUAAUUAAAGAUAAAACACAUUUACCAGAGCUCUUUGACAGCGCAAUGUACAAGGAAUCAACAUGGCCACAUGGUGGCGCAUUCUGCUCUCUCUGCAGGAAAAUUGAUCAAAGUUGCUGCCUGAGUGCCAGAAUCCUCCAGCAAAGAGGGAGAUGCCAAGUCCUCCUCAUCAUGUAUAGUACAUGACUUGGAUCACAUUGAACGAAAAGGCUAAGGACCAGCAGCAGAUGCAGGAACAUCACUGAUUAAAUUGCUAAUCCAUCCUCAUU